rnacentral:lncRNA from 1 species
GCAUUAAGCAUCCAAUAUACUUGGCAUCUAUAGGGAUAAGUGUAAGUGGAUGUAGAGCUUGUCCCAGUCUAGGUACAUAGAAUUUAAUGUUGAACGAAUUCAACAGGAAUGGGUGUAAAGGUAUUUACUUACCCAAAUAUUCAAUGUACCAAGCUUGAUAUGAAUUAUGCCUUGUGCAUAAUCAUUGAUUUCGGGCUGAUCC